rnacentral:sRNA from 1 species
GCAGAGCCAUGGCCCUCUUCUUUGUUCUCUGCUGGAUCCAAGAGUCGGGGGUCUCCCUAUGUUUCCCAGGCUGGCCUCGAACUCCUGACCUCAAGUGAUCCUCCCACCUCAGCCUCCCCGAGUGCUGGGAUUAAAGACGUGAGCCACGGCACCUGGCCUGAAUUUUCCUCAAAUUCAAAAAAUCCUGAUGAAGGUUUGGCUAAAAUCUUUGGUGAGUUACCCCACUCCCUGUGGAACCUCAGGCUGGAUUUGAAGAGUUGCGUGCAUGGUCCUCAUUGUCUCCCAGAUGAAAUUGUGCUCCAAGUGUUUUCCAAGGUUCCGUAUGACCCAUCAUUUGAUGAAACAAGAACAGCAGUCAGAUCCAUUACAAAGAGAGACACACAAAAAAACUAUGUGAAAAUGAGCUUAGCCCCUGGUGUUGUGUUGGAACUUCAGAUGCUUGCAGACACUUCAUGAAUGCUCUGUGACACUCAGAAUAGGCUAUUCCCAACAGAAGAGCUUGAACAAUGCUGCAUUUGCAUCAGGUUCAAAUGAGCGAGAGGAACAUUUGGCUAAAAUAUUUGAUGAAAUUCUACUGCAGGUGUUUCCAAAGUUUCCGUAUGACCCAUCAUUUAACGAAGCAACAGCAGUCAGAUCCAUUACAAAGACAGACAUGAGAAAAG